UAGCUUUACUGAUAGCUGAUCUUACCUUAUAGCCUUUUAGCUAUUUUACACAGCAUUUUAUAUCAUAUAGCUAGAUAUCUAGCUACGUUUUUAAGAGAGAGCUUUUAAAUUGGCACCUCUCCCCCCUAUGGGCUAAUAAUACUUUGAGUCAGGUGGUUUGAAAGAAAGUGACUUGUCUUGAGGUACACAGUCCUGUGUGUGGUAGUUAGGGUUAGGGGCCAUCUGUUAGAUUUGUGGUCGGUCGGGGCUUAGGUUAAGGGUCAGUUCCUUACAGUUACUAAUAUAAUUUCAUGUUUUUAUUUUCAGAAGAGAACAUACAGGAAGAAGACAGACCAUGGAAGCUGUGUCUCGGGGGUGAUACAGCAUCCCCUGAAGGCAAUAGACCUUAAAGGGGCGUGCCAGGGUGUUCAACAUUCCACCAAGAACCCUAUGGCACCACAGAGGAAAGGAGGUGGAAAACCCAGGCUUCAGCCAAAUGGGUGGGGCGUCAGUCUUCUCUUUCACGUCUGAAAGUGACCUCGUCAAUCGCAUCAUGGGACGUGAGAAGACUCGCCUUUGAUCUGACAGAGAGGAUGGGAAUCACAGGUUCAUCAAAGGAAAGGGGUAUGCAUGGGUGGAUUGGUUCAGUUGCUUAAUGAAGCGCAACCCUCAACUGUCAGUUUGAGUAUCGCAAGCAACCAGUCUUGCGAGGGCCGUGGGCUUUAAUAAGCUUAAGGUUGACCAGUUUUUUUAUGGCCUACAAGGACAUUUUAAACAGCAUCAGGGACAUUGGGAAAACAAAGAUUUGGAACAUGGACAAAAGUCCAGAAACUGUUGCCUGUGGUGGCCACCAAGGGAACAAAACGUGUUGCAUGGUUGACCAGCGCAGAGUGGCUUCACAGUCACAGUAAUUUGUGCUAUCAGUGUAGCGAGGCAGUACGUACUGCCCCUCUUCAUCUUCCCUCGGAAGAGGAUGAACGAACAGCUGCUGGUUGGAGCACCUGCACGGUCUGUUGGAAGGGUGAGUGACUCAGGCUGAGUCGACAGUACCAUCUUUGUCGACUGGCUCCACAACUUCAGCCACAGUGUUGGUUGCACCCCUGAGGAACCCCACAUCCUCAUCCUCGAUGGGCACCACUCCCAUAAGACCCAGACUUCAUGGUCACUGAGGUUAUAGAGGAGCCUGAGCCCAUUGCCAGAAUCCAUUCAACCACAGUGCUCUACCGCUGCCACCGAUGCAGCUACCAGCUCUACCACCGCCACCUCUACAGCCACCAUCACUAGCUCUACCUACACCGCCACCAGCUCUAACGCCAAAACCUCUACCUCCACCACAUCUACCUCCGCCACAACCUCCACCGUGCAGCCUACCCUUGCUCCAAAUGUUGCUGCAGCAGUUCUAUUGGAGUUGUGGCCGAGGCUCCAGGAGGCGAGGCAGAGGAAGAGGAAGGCAGAGUCUGCAGCUGUACUGACAGCCUCACCUUACAAAAGGUUGCUGGAGGAAAAUGCUCGACAGAAACAUCAACAAGAAGAAAAGAGAGAGAGUAAGAAAACAAAUCAGGUUCUUCAAAGAAGGUUGGUGCAACACAACAAGCCACAUCAGCCACCAAAGAAGGGGGUGCGGAGGGUCUUUUCUGUGAGGUGCUGGUUUCAGUCACAGCGUGAAACGGUGCUGAAAUAGACGUCCGCAGUGGGAAGGCUAUGUAUUCUGUGCCCAUUCAUGGAAUCUCUCUUCAGUUACACAUCCUUGGAAUAGCAGAACAGCAUAACGGUCCGGGCGGCCCUUGCUGUGCCUGGUGAGCAGUUGGUCAAGUUGUCAGAAGAGAAAUGGAAAUGUCAGGGUGAACCGAAGACCUGACAAACCCGCCACGUAUGUUGACUCUGCCCGUCGGAGGUGGAAUUCCAGAGCUCACAGGUGUGCCUGACAUGGAUUGUGACUCCAUCUCGUUCCUCGCCCUUUUCAAUGCGUGCGUGAGUGAGUCAAUGAUUCUAGUGAUUCGUCUGACAAACAAAUAACUUUGUGUCCUGCAGGCCCAGGCAUGAAUCAAAGCUGGCGAGACAUUCAAUAACGUCAUCUUCACAGACGAAUCAACCGUGGCCCUUGAGCAAUUUGCUCAAAAUUGCUACAGAAAAAAAGGAAGAAGAUCAAGAAGAUUAACAAAAGCAUAAAGAUGUUGAUGAAGAAAUGCUGUUUUGAGUUAAAAAUGUAACACUUUAGAGUACUUAAGCAUCGAAUACAUUGCAAGUUGAGUGAUUUUCACAACAGUAGUUGGGCUAUAAAAAUAUAUUGUCCUGCUAAUAGGAAACAUUUGCAUGAUGGGAUACAUUCUAGACUCCUAUAAAGCCCUCUUGUUGUUUGUAAAGUCAAAUUAAAAUGAAGAUUAUUGUUGAAAUGAA